rnacentral:rRNA from 1 species
CCUACGGGCGACAGCAGUGGGGAAUAUUGCACAAUAGGGGAAACCCUGAUGCAGCAACGCCGCGUGAAGGAAGACGGUUUUCGGAUUGUAAACUUCUAUCAAUAGGGAAGAAAAUGACGGUACCUGAAGAAGAAGCCCCGGCUAACUACGUGCCAGCAGCCGCGGUAAUACGUAGGGGGCAAGCGUUAUCCGGAUUUACUGGGUGUAAAGGGGGCGCAGACGGCGAUGCAAGCCAGGAGUGAAAACCCGGGGCCCAACCCCGGGACUGCUCUUGGAACUGCGUGGCUAGAGUGCAGGAGGGGCAGGCGGAAUGCCUGGUGUAGCGGUGAAAUGCGUAGAUAUCAGGAGGAACACCGGUGGCGAAGGCGGCCUGCUGGACUGCAACUGACGUUGAGGCCCGAAAGCGUGGGGAGCAAACAGGAUUAGAUACCCGUGUAGUC